AAUAACUUCCCCUAACAGCUCCCCCAAUUUAUGAGCUCAUCUUAGGAGGGGAAAAGUUUUAGAAUGUAACGAGUAUAUUAAUAACGUGGCGUAACAAAUCAAUCAAAUAUCUUCUUUUAGGAGUAUAUGUCUCAUCAUGAUUAUAAAAAAAUAUUUUUUAUUAUACUUUUGUUUGAAAAGAAGGAAUGCGAUUGAUUUGUUAUUGAUGACGUGGUGAAGUGUGAUAGUAUAGAAUUCCUCCUUAGGAGGGGGGAGUUUUGAAAGGGCCCUCUAUACUUUGGGUGUGAUAAAUGUUACUUGUACAUUCACUUUUAGGCCCUGUUGGAUGCAUAGUUAAAAAAUUUUAUGGAAUUUUUAUUUUAUGGUUUUGGUCUAAAUGAAAUACGGAAUUCUGUAACUACAAAAAAAUUUCACAACUUCAUUUUUAAGCUGUUUGGAUACAGAUCAUACAAUUUCACAGUAUCUCCUUUUAGGAGUAUAUGUCUCAUCAUGAUUAUAAAAAAAUAUUUUUAUUGUACUUUUGUUUGAAAAGAAGGAAUGCGAUUGAUUUGUUAUUGAUGACGUGGUGCAAGUGUGAUAGUAUAGAAUUCCUCCUUAGGAGUGGGGAGUUUUGAAAGGGCCCUCUACACUUUGGGUGUGAUAAAUGUUACUUGUACAUUCACUUUUAGGCCAUGUUGGAUGCAUAGUUAAAAAAUUUCAUGGAAUUUUUAUUCUAUGGUUUUGGUCUAAAUGAAAUACGGAAUUCUGUAACUACAAAAAAAUUUCACAACUUCAUUUUUAAGUUGUUUGGAUACAGAUCAUACAAUUUCACAGUAUUUAUAACAAUUAAAUUUCUAAAAUUUUAAAAUUCAAAAUUCAAAAUUCAAAAUUCAAAAUUCAAAAUUCAAAAUUUAAAAAUAAAAUUUUAAAAAUUAAAAUUCAAAAUUCAAAAUAUAAAAUUAAAAUUUAAAAUUUAAAAUUAAAAAAUUAAAUUAGAUUUUAUGUUUUAAAUUUGAAAUUUGAAAUUUGGAAUUUGAAAUUUAAAAUUUGAAAUUUGAAACUUUAAAUUUUAAAAUUUAAAGUAUACCAUUUAAACUUUAAAAUUUGAAAUUUAAAAAAUCUAUAAUUAAAAUUUUAAAUUUUAAAUUUAAUAAUUUAUAAAUUUACAUAUUUAUAAAUUUAAAAUUUAAAAUUUAAGUUUAAAUUUAAAUUUUGAAAAUUGAAAAUUAAAAAUUAAAAAUUAAAUUAAAAUUUGAAAUUUGAAAUUUGAAAUUUGAACUUUUUGAAAUUUGAAAUUUGAACUUUUUGAAAUUUGAAAUUUGAAAGUUGAAAUUUGAAAGUUGAAAUUUGAAAUUUGAAAUUUGAUAUUUGAACUUUUUGAAAUUUGAAAUUUGAAAAUUGAAAUUUAAAAUCAAAAUUAAAAUUGAAAUUUAAAAUUUUAAGUUUUGAAAUUUAAAAUUUUAUGUUGAAAUUUAAAAUGUAGAAAUUGAUGCAUCUUUGGGAGCCCAAAAUGGUGGAAUUUUUUUCCUUUGGUUAAAGUGGAUUGUAAGUUUACUCCAUUUUUUGGAGUAUAGUAUAACUAUACUCCAAAAAUUACGUUAUUUUUUUUUCUUCUAAACGCUUCAUAGGAUUAUUUUUCUAUCGGCAUAGCAUAGUUUAACUAUGCUACGUUUCAUAGGAUUAUUUUCCUACCGGCAUAACAUAGUUUAACUAUGCUAUGUUUUUAGAGGUAUCCAAACGGAGCCUUAGUUAUAAUUUUUUUUUAUCAUAUUAUGUAAUAAGUAAAAGCACUCCAUUAAUUGGAUGAGUGGAAUAUAAGAUCUAAAUACAUUUUUCGACAUGCCACUAGUAUUAUUUUUUUUAGUAAUGUUAUAUACACCUAAUUAAUGGAUGUAUAAGAUUUAUAUCUUAAUCUCUCAAAAAUUAAGCUUUACUUAUUUAUUUUAUCAAUUUUUUAAAAACUACUAAAAAUCUUUUUUUUUUUUUACUUUAGAAUCAGGGAAUGCAAGAUUUAUGCCGUGAAACAGAGUAUACAGAUAGUUUUUUUUUUUUCAAAAUUUUUGCAUUUUUACAAAUAAAUUUCUGAACUUAUAACUUUUUUUGACAAGACCCUCUAGAUUUUAUUAAAAUAGAUUAAUAUGUUACUCUUCUAAGCAAUGUUAUUGAUUGAAUAGUUGUUUAGGUCAUAUAUCUUACUCACAAUUUUGAAUAAUUUAAGUAGAGAAAAAAUAGUUUAAUAAUUAAGUAUUAGAAUUGAAAAACAGAGUGAAUCUAUCUGUGAUUUUAUCUUUUCCAGAUAUUAACUAGAUGAAAUAAAAUUUAUUUGUGUUUUCAAACUUUAAAAUAUUACGUGUGGUACAAGCAAUUAAAACAGCUGUAUAAUUAAUAUCUUCUAUGGAGGACGGGACAUUAAAUGAUGUGAUGAAGUUUAGAAGUUUAAUUGCCGAAACUAAAAGUUUUAGCAUUUCCUUGUUAAAGAACCAAAGUCAAGGAUCUCUGCAUAUUUUCUAUUAUUUCAUUAUUUUGUAUCAUCUUCUUUUUGCCGAUUUUGGUAUUAUUGAGUUGGUAGAUGUGACACCCAUAGGAUUUGGAAUAGCUCUAUAUAUAAGAUAUAAUAUGGCCAAACCUCUUAAGCCAACUAUAGCAUUUGAGAUGGUGUCUAGGCUUAAAAGGUUAAGAGAGUUAAGCGUGCUAGAAUUAGAGUAGUUGUAGGAUAGAUGACUCCCUGAAAAGUAGAGUGUCAUAGUUAAUAUCAGAGUCAAUCACUAGUCGAAAGUGUGAGAUGAGUUUCGACUCAGCCAAUGUCAUAUAGCAGAUAGAGUGUGACUUCCCAAUUGACGGCCUUUAUGGGUAGAACGCAACUCCCUAUAAGGUCGGCCAAGGCUAGCAAGAUGAACCUCACAUUGCUUUGUGUUUGUGAGUAUACUUGAGCUUGACGAGAACGUCAAGGCCAAAAGGGGGAAGGAAUGUGAUACCACUAGAAUUUGGAAUAGUCCUAUAUAUAAGAUAUGGACUAAAUCUCUUAACUCGAUCAUAGCAUGUUGGGUAGUGGUUGGGCCCAAAAGGUUAAGAGGGGUUAAGUAUACUAGAACUAGAGUAAUUCUUACAACAGGUAGAGCGUAGCUUCCCGGUUGACGACCAUUGUGGGUGGAGUGCGACUCCUUACAAGAUCGGUCAAGGCUAGUGAGACGAACCUUACAUCGCAUGGUGCUUGUAAGUAUGCUUGAGCCUGAUGAGAAUGUCAAGAUUUAAAGGGGGGAGGAAUUUGAUACCGUUAGGAUUUGGAAUAGUCCUAUAUGUAAGAUGUGGACUAAACCUCUUAAUCCGACUAUAGCUGUAGUACACUGAACUUUAACAAUUUGCAAGGUUCUAGUGUAGGAAUAAUAUUUUGAACUAUUAUGAAUGUUUUGAGAGUUGUAAGUUGAGUGUCGACCGGUUUCUGGUGUCUUUUAGGCGCGAGAAAGGGUUCCUAACAUCAAAAUCUGCAAACUGCAGGUUUUAGUGUUGAAUACCGGUACUAAAGUGGGGUACCAGAACCCUAUAGAGUGCCAAAAUCAGCAGCUCUCGGGUUUUGAGGAACCGGGUUGGGAGUACCAGUACUGGGUUGAGUACUGGUAUUGCAUCAGGCUGGUACCGGAACGUAGUAUUAAACCUGAAAUUCCAACGUACGGGUUCUGCAGGACUGGGCAUUUUGUAUCGGAACUGCGGGGUACCAGUACUUCAAUUUGAGUACCGAUACUCAAUGCUGCAGAAUGCAAUUUCAUGCAGUUGCAAUUUAUGAGUCUUUAAGGGGCUUAGUGGGGAUUGUUACAACUUGUAUAUGCCCUUCACCCCUCAUUUACUCAGCCCUUGUGCCGGUGCUUGAGAGGAAGAGUGGUAAGCUUCUCUUUCUCUCUUGAAUUCUCCUCCCACAGUCUUUCCAAUUUGAAGUUUUGAUCUUCUUUUCUUCUUCCUUUCCAUGGAAGCUUGUCUUGUGGACCUCGAAUGAGGCUUUGGAGAGAAGAAGGGAGGUUAGUUGAGGAUUAAUCUCCGACCCUAACUUAGGUUUAGCUUGGUUUGGAGCUUUCCAUAAGAUUAGUAAUCUUCUUACCACCUUUGAUUGUGAAUUUGUGAGGAUUUGUAGAAUUAGACCUAGUUGUGAGAAAACUAGGAUUUAAUUUGGAAUUUUUUGUUGUGGGACUUUUGGAGACCAAUUGAUGGCUGUGAAACUCUCUUUUAGGUGAGAAUUGAAGUUUCCUAGCCUUGAUUAGAGCGUUGGACAUGUUCUUCUUGGUCUAAGGUAUUUUCUAUCUAUUUUAGGUAAGGUUUUUGGUGAAUUUCGUGAGAAGCUUGUUAGAAACUUGUAACCCUCUUAGAAUUUUUGUUAGGGUGCUAGGAUUCUCAAGGACAACUUCGUUCGUGGAAACGAAAGAGUUCAAAGGGUAUCCAGUGGGUUUGACCUUACCGAAAUGAGUGAACUCCCCCAGUGUCUUCCACAUUGUUUUAAAACUUGAAUUCAUACAUAUUCAUGUUAGAUAUAAUAUAAUGAAAUUUUUGGAUACAUGCUACAUACAUGUUACAUGUAGAAGUUUUCAUCCUCUAUAUAGUAGAGAUAUAUAAUGUGGACUUGCAUUCUAAAUGGUAGAUAAUAGUGUUUUCCCUUUAUGCAAUAAUAGAAAGCAUGUUAGGGAUGGACAAAUGAUGUGUCUCCUAGACCAUAUAUGACUUAGUGGAACAUACUUGUUGUAGACAAGUUACAAAUGACAUAUUGAAUGGUAGUAGCAAUGUAUAAACUUAAUCUUGUUGUAUUUGACUUAGUCGAAUAACUAGAAUUCAAAGUUGUGAUAUUGUAAUGACAUACCAUGUUUUAGACAUGAUGAAUGAGAUCCCUAUGUUGUUGAUCACACUUGCUUGCCAUUGUCCUUAAUCGCACAAGUUUGUAAGGAUCGUUUCCUACAAGCCGGCACUUCGAAGUUGGCCUACGUGACAUCAUGCUCGCCUGUGUGAGAUUGGACGCCGAAGUGGAUUGUCGUGGGAGAGGCUUAUUCCUAGUGGGGGAAUGUUGACUACCACCGGGCCAUUAGGCAUGGCGCAAGUCAGGACUACACCUUGUGUUGGUCCUCGUUAAUUUGGGUAAUGAUAAUUAAACAUAAUGAUUAGACAUUACUACUAGAUAGUGCAUGAUAUUUGGACAUGACAUUAGCUAUUGUAUAGCCAUUUGCAAAGAAAAGCAUAUUGUAUUAAUUUUAAAAUAAAAAUGUUCUUUUUUUACAGGUUCAGUACAAGUAAGGACACAUUUGGAAUUCAAGAAAAUAUAAAUCAUUUUAUACUAUUUUGCUAUAUUCGCAAACUAUUUUACGUCAUGUGACCAUUUUUGUAUUUGGAUAUAAUUUGUGUAUGCAUUACUAUUUUUGUGUUUAGAAAAAUUUGAAACUCUUUUGUUACUUUUUUAAAUAUUGAAUGUACUGCAAGAUUUUAACUUAUUUAUUUAUUUAAUUGCGAAUGAGCUUAUUAUUAAAUAAUUUGUAUUAUUUUAUUUUGUAUAACAUAGGUUACUUAUUACACAGAAAUACUGAGAUCACAUAUUAUUUAAUAAAAUUGUAUUAUUUUUAAAUAUUAUGAUAAAAUUUAAUUAUUAUAUGAUAGUGCAAAUUAUUAUUUAUAUUAUUUUUGUUUGUUUAAAAGUAUAAUUUAAAAAUAUUUAUAUAUAGAAUUAUCGGCAUUUAUUAAUGCUGGAAUCAAUAAUAGAAUACUAACAUUUAUAUAAUAUUGCAAAUUAAAUAACAGUUAUCAGCAUUUAUUAGUGUCAGAAAUGAUUAAAAAAUACAAGCAUUUAAAUAAUGUCGGUAAUAGUCAUCUCUAUAACGGCAUUUGUUUAAUAUUACUAAUUACUUCACAUUAAUGACAAUCUAUUUAAAUAUCGGUAGAAGAUUUAUCAACAUGAGUAUAAGUGGCAUUAAAAUCUUAAUGCCACUAAUAGUUUUUACAGUAUUUUUUGAAUUUUAGGUGGCAAUAAUUGAACGUCGUUAAAUCUCAAUUUUUCUUUAGUGGCUAUACUAUCGGUAGUUAAAUGAAUAAUGUUUAUUAUCAAUCUUUUCACCCUUAAAUUAUUGCUAUUCUACCAACCCUUCACUAAAUUCUAAGUAUCAAAGAAAACUUAAAAAGUUGAUAGUAAACAUUACCCCCGUACUAUCAAUAGCAUUCUAGCCAUAUUAUAUAUAUAUAGAGAGAGCUAGGCUGGUAUACUAUCGGUAGCGCUAUAGAGAGCUAGGCUGGUAUACUAUCGGAGGCCUCCGUGCUACCAAGUUGUUUUCAAUGAUGCAGCUUCCAAAUCGACAAUCGGCUCCGUUUGACUUGAUCUACACUAUUGAAAGUAUUUGAAAACUAAAUUUCAUAAUUUUUGGGCAUCAUUUACGUAUGAAACGAGUAGUCUAAAAAUGAACGACUGAAAAUAAAAAUCUCAUAAAAAAUAAUGAUAAAAGACUUGAAUUUAAGAUCAGAGAUACUGAUCUUAUUCCAAAUAGUGAAAAAAAAUUUCUAUAAAAAUUUUAUUAGAUUUGGAUUGUUUUACACCGUUAAAUUCACAAACGCAUCACAUCUACCAUUAAAAUUAUCAAUUUUGAAACCUUUUGAUCACUAGCCAAAUAAUGUCUAAAAAUUAUGAAAUUUAGUUUCCAAAUACUUUUAAUAGUAUAGAUCAAGUCUAACGGAGCCAAUCGUCGAUUUGGAAACCGCGUCAUUGAAAACAACUUGGUAGCAUGGAGGCCUCCGUACUACCGAUAGUAUACCAGCCUAUAUAUAUAUAUAUAUAUAUAUAUAUAUAUAUAUAUAUAGCUCCUAUGCUUUCGAAAGUACGAAAGCAUCCGUACUUGUAAGUUGUUUUCAAUAAUGGGACAUCCGAUUCGACGAUCGGUUCCGUUAGACAUGAUCUACACUAUUAGAACUACAUAGAAACCAAAUUUCAUAAUUUUUUGACUCCGUUUGUCUAGUAAACGAGUAGCCUCAAAAUGAACGGCUAAAAAUAAAAAUCUCAUAAAAAACAGUGAUAAAGGACUCAAAUUUCAAAUCGAAAGUAUUGGUCUUGCUAUUGAUGUUAAGUAGAGUUUUUUAUUAAAUUUUCAUCUAAUUUGGAUACUUCUACACCGUUGAACUUAAAAACGUGCCACAUCGGCCGUUAAAAUAGUCAUUUUUGAGACCUUUUGAUCGUUUCGUAAAUGAUGUCAAAAAAUUAUAAAAUUUGGUUUUUAAAUAGUGCCAAUAGAGUAAAUUAUAUUUAACGGAGCCGAUCGUCGAAUCGGAUUUCCUAUCAUCGAAAACAACUUACAAGCAUGAAGGUUUUCGUACUUUCGAAAGUACAGGAGACUUACUAUAUAUAUAUAUAUAUAUAGGCUACUAUGCUAUUAAUAGCACCAAGUCAUUGGUGCUACCAAGUUUUUAGCUAUUGGAUUAAGAGAUGUGUGGUUAGGAUGAUGUGGGCCCUCUAGGGUUGAGUGGGUGGUUGGUUGGAUUAAUAGCAUAGUAGCCGGACUCUAUAUAUAUAUAUAUUGUCACGCCCCGGAUUACACGUUUUCUCGGGCACGCCAACAGACCCGCCAUAUGCAUAGAAAUUUUUCUUGUAUACGAAGCGAUAGCUGUACCUAUAAAUAAAUCAAGCUACAACCACAAAGUAAUGAACUGCUAAACUAAAAACAUGUCACGCCCCAAUCCCCGCCAAUUUGGUCGGGUUCGGGUCACGUCAACAGACGCCGAACGGACAGAGCCUCCCCUGUCCGCCCAAGGCUCUAACAACAUGUAUAAAUAGGCAAUCAACAAGAGAAUUGCAUAUAUAAUACAAGGCUUGCACGAGGGCAAGCAGCAACGGAAGCGAAAGCUCUAAGCUAAAUAUACAUCACACAUGAUAUUUGAUUUCAUUUAAACCAAAUUUAAGUAAACAAAGCUAUUACAUUCCAUUCAACCAUCAUAUCUUUUACAUUUAGUCAUCCACCAAAAACAUGAUUGUUUACAACUUUACAUCUCUAAUUCAACAAAAUAAAGCUGCUACAUGUACACCAAAAGGAAAAUGACUACAAAAUGUUAAGCUACUCCGGUGCCGUACUACGGCCGCUAAACCCUGCCAUCGGUCGCUCCGCCCCCACUGUCGGCUAGGACCUGGUAGGUUAGUGGUGUGAGAGAACUAACACGAAGUUCCCAGGUGGGUCUGGCAUCUCGCGAUCUCCGGACCGACUUACGCCUAGGUUCAAUCCAGGCAUAGUAUUUCAAGGAGGAAAAUAACAGCACUACUAAUGCAAGCUAAUAAUUUAUGGCCUGCAAGAAAGAAGUNNNNNNNNNNNNNNNNNNNNNNNNNUGCGACAAGGGUAACUAUGAAUUAUUAAAUCAAAUUCGUAAGUUGUCAAUUUCAGAUCCCAUGAGAAAUUCAUUUUGCAAAAGAGGAAUACUAAAGUGCUCAUUAGCAGGAUGUACGUAUCAGCAAGCUAUUCAUCUCAUGAAAUUCUCCUCAAGUAUCAAUCAUGACAAAUAAGGCUUAGUUUCUAAAAGCUGAAAUAUAUGCUCCGAUAGUCUGUGGUGUCAUAUUUAUCAUAUGAGCUGACAUACAAUCACUUCACCAUUUCUUUGACCUCUCCAAAAUGAAUAAUGUGUAAAUCCAAAAUCAACACAGGCGAAAAUAUAAAGCAGAGAGAUUUCAUUGCAACAGCCAACAAACAAAAUUGCACAGUCAAUUCCAAUUAAACAUUCAGACUAUCGUGAGUUCAACCUAUGGAACUUGAAAAAAAGAAGAAGCAAGCAGCUACUCAGGUUAUUAAACAUCAAUAUUGCAUUUGUAGAAAAGCCGCUAAUAAAUAACAAAUAGCCAGUUUAAUUUCAAUUUCGAAAAAGAAAAACACAAUUCCCCCAAAACUCAAUUCAAUUUUCCUGCACAAAUAGAUGAUCUAUUGCUCCAAUACGGAAUCACAUGCCCCUGUAUCCAUUUCUCGCAUUUUUGAAAUAAGCCAUAGAAUUGGUGCAAAAAAAUUGUGCUCCCAAAUUCGUCUGGCCCAUAAAAAUUAAAGAAAGUAAUAAAAUAAGCCAAAAUUAGUCAGCAAAAAUUAAACGCGCUGCAGAAAUAACCGUGUUUAAAAGGGGGGAAAACUUUCAAAACCACGAAUUAAUUAAAAGUAAGGAAAGCGACCAAGAGUACGGGAAAACAGGGAAUAUGAUUUCGCAAUAGUUAUUGAGCAACAAAACCCAAAUUUACAAAAAAUCAGCAGACGUAAAUUUCAAGUCAGAAAGCAUAUCUUUCUCAAAAUUAGAGAAGCCUGAAAAUCGCUUGGCACUGUACCGAAUCAAAACAUGUGGAAACAAACCACAGAACUUCCGACUUCUCGAUCAAAACCCAAUCCAUUUAUCAAAAAAACCAAACAAAAUCGUCAAAAGAGAAACCCUAGAAAUCCCCAUGAACACGAGAAAACUGUAAAUCGAGGCAGCAUGAAUCCUUCGUUUCAAAUCGAGGAAACGCAAAUCCAUACCCUUCGUGAAAGGAAAAGGUUCUUUCCAAACCCCCGGCACUCCGCACGCGUCUGAUCGAGAUAUCGAAGCGACGUAUGUCGAGGUUUAUCGACGACGACGACGCACGAAACUCGCCCUGCGAGCAACUGGGAGAACCGUGUGGCUCCCGAUAGUACCGCGCACGCCGGUGGACGAGGAUCGACUUACGGAGCAUGGACGAAGGCCCCCAAAAAGUCGAGAACGAAACCGAUGAGAUGAGAGAAGAAGGGUUCGGAAAGAGGAGAAGAUGAGAGGCGAGACGAUGGAGAGAGCCGGAGGUGGAGAGAACGAAGGAGAGAAAAGGGAGGUGCAAAAGCGAGGAGGAAUGAACGAAGAUCCUAAUGAAAGGGGAAAUUAAAUGGUAAUAAGGUAUUUAUUAGAGUGCCAGCGAGAUACACAUAUAAAUAAAUAAUAAUCAUAAUAACAAUAAAUAUUAUAAAAAGUAUCAUAUACUGUAAACGGGUUUCGGGAUUUAUGACGAUCAUCGUACCCGCGGUGUCGAAUUCCAGAAAAAAGAUCACGGAGUGGUAUUUUGUACAUGUUGCCGACAAAGAAUGGAGUGUGUUAUUUAUUUAAUUUAAAUAAAAAUGGUUAAAUGUGCGUUCCGCACAUUAAUAAAGAGGCAGAUGGUACACGUGUCGGGUUGUCAUUCGGUGGUUGGAAAGAAUUUACAGGCUGGUUCGAGAGCGCAUAUGCUUUUAUUGUUUUUUUUUUUUUAAUAGUAAUGCUAUUUAGGCAGCAAAUAAAAGUUAUGUUUUAUAUAUAUAUUUUUACAUUAUAAAUGAUUAAAAUUCAAUAGUUCCGAUACGUAACUUUUUAAAAGCAUACAAAAUACUUAAGGGACUUUAUAAAUAUUUUAUCAUUAAAAUUUUUUUUAGUCAAUUUAAUUGCUUUAGAUCAUAUCAUUGGAGCAACUAAUCGUUUAAUAUUUAGGACAUUAUUAUUCUAACUAUUCACAUCUUAUCAUACCAACAAUCAAAAAUUUAAUAAACCAUUAACUGUUGGUAUUGAACAAAUUUGUAUCAUCGAGCGUGAACUUUACCCUCUCUUUUUGGCAAAACAUCUAUCUACAAUAAAUUAUUAGCAUUGAAACGUUCUAAAUUUUAGUUAAAUAUAAUUAGUUGACCUCUUUCUAGUUUUAAUCAAAUAUUAUUUACUUGACCUCCUCUACGUCGGCAGAGUUGUAUUUGAAUAAGUAUUGUAAGUAUAUCUUCGACAUCAUAAUUUUAUAAUUAGAACAAAGAACGAAAAAACUUAAAUUUUCUUGUUCUUCUGUCUCUGUAAUCAUUAAGAUACAAAGGCAUAUGAUUGAAAGAGUAUAGCGAAUCUACUUUUCAUAUUUAUUAUUUCUUUUAUAUAGAAUAUAACAUAUUUUUUCGUAUUUUAAAAUUUUAAAUAAUCAUAUAAUAGCGUAAUUUUGAUUGAAUGAGAAUCUAUUAAAAGCUAUUUAACAAAUUUAGAAGGUCUGAGUAUUACUAAUUAGAAACUUCAUGUCUAGGUGUUGCAAAAAAAUAUAUAAAAGUAAGCGUUACACUAUAUUUUUUUCUCAAAAAAAAUCCCAUCUCGGCAACUACUUGUAUUACCGAAAACCAUUUGAGUAUUGAUCACAUUUAUAAUAUUAUUAAAUAAAAUAGACUUCGAAGAAAAGUAUUUGAAAAAAUAUUUUUUUAGGGGUCGUUUUUGUAUUUGGUGGCCUCUCAUUUUUUUUUUUCACAAUAGCCCAUUAAUUUUAUAAUUCUAAUUUUGGCUCUAUUCUGUCACAGAAGUAACAUGUCAACCGCCAAUGGUUAAGCUUGAAUAAGGUGAAACUAGGUAUUAGUGUUUUUUACCGCGCUCAAAUAAUAUAUAAUAAUUAGAUCACGGUAGGACAUGGUAAAUAAAUUAUCAUAUUCAACUAUUCGCACUCCUCUAUUUCAUGCCUGCGUGCGCUUAAAAUGGCGCUUAUGUGGUAACGGUGAACAGACGUCAAAAUUUAAUUAUAAAUUAGUGAAGACUAUUAGUGAAGAAUAAACUUGUGUAGAGGGUCGAAAUACAAAAAAAAAAAAAAGAAAAGAAAAAAAAAACCAUGUUUUAUUUUUUAAUGGAGUUUAAAAAGAAAAUAUUGGAAUCAGAGCUGGCAGGGGCAAGUGGGGGCCCGCGCGCGGAGUGGGCGCCCACGGGGACCUAGAGAGGAAUUUGGGCGAUACGGGUGCCUCGUGUGUUGAGGGUGCGCUGCCAGUCUGCAAUUUCAAGGUAAUGCGAUGCCAAGUCGGUGGUGGGAUGGGAGGGUUUAGUCGAGGACCGGUUUGGUGGGGCGCUGAGUGUGGAACGCGUUUUGAAGAUCCGCUUGGCUUAAGAGGUGCUUAGCAAUUUCAGGUAGCACAUGGCGUCGCAAUAACUCUCCCACUAACAGCUCCCCAAUUUAUGAGCUCAUCUUAGGAGGGGAAAAGGUUUUUAGAUUAAACGAGUAUAUUAAUAACGUGGCGUAACAAUCAAUCAAAUAUCUUCUUUAGAGUAUAUGUUCUCAUCAUGAUUAAUAAAAAAAUAUUUUUUUAUUUACUUGUUGUUGAAAAGAAAGGAUAUGCGAUUGUUUGUGAUUGAUGACGUGGUGAACAGUGUGAUAGUAUAAAUUCCUUCCUUAGAGCGGGGAGUUUUGAAAGGGCGUCUAUACUAUUGGGUGUGAUAAAUGUUACUAUGUACAUUCACGUUUAGGCCCUGCUUGGAAUGCCAAGCUUCAAAAUUGAUAUUCGGAAAUUUUUAUGUUAUGGUUUUUGGUCUAAAUGGAAUAUACGGAAUUCUGUAAUACAAAAAAAUUUCACAACUCAUUUUUAAGCUGUUUGGAUACAGAGAUCAUACAUUUCACAGUAUCUCCUCUUUAGGAGUAUAUGUUCAUCAUGAUUUUAAAAAAUUAUUAAUUUAUUGUACUUUUGUUUGAAAGAAGGAAUGCGAUUGAUUUGUUAAUUAUGACGGGUGCAAGUGGAUAGUAUAGAAUUCUCCUUAGGAAGUGGUCGGAGUUUUGAAAGGGCCCUCUACACUUUUGGGUGUGAUAAAUGUUACUUGUACAUUCAUUUUUACGGCCAUUGUUGGAUGCAUAGUUAAAAAUUUCAUGAAUUUUUAUUCUAAUGUUUUUGGUCUAAAUGAAAUAGGAAUCUGUAACUACAAAAAAAUUUCACGAACUUCAUUUUUAAGUUGUUUGGAGUACAGAUCAUACAAUUUCAGUAUUUAUAACAAAUUAAAUUUCGAAAAUGUUUAAAAAUCAAAUUCAAAAUUUCAAAAUUCAAGAUUAAAUUCAAAUGCAAAAUUUAAAAAUAAAUUUUAAAAAUUAAAAUUCAAAUUCAAAAUAAAAAUUAAAUUUAAAUUUAAUUAAAAAUUAAUUAGAUUUUAUGUUUAAAUGUCGAAAUUUGAAAUUUGGAAUUUGAAAUUUAAAAUUUGAAAUGUUUGCACUUUUAAAUUUUAAAAUUUAAAGUAU
rnacentral:lncRNA from 1 species